GGAAAAGUGGAACUUUGCAGUGAAAAGAAGCUGAAGAUAAGAGCAAAGAAGUUUAAGAAGGAGGAAUUGGUGGAGGAAGAACAUGAACGUAAGGCAGGGUGUGAGUACAGGAAUAAGGAAAGUGGUCACAGGACACACUCUCCCUUGAAAGCAUACCAUACGGUUUGGUGCUCUUAUCAAUAUACCCUGGUGUCUCCAUACCCAUACUGUGUAGAAGAAGAAACCUUGGACCUUGUUUAUAGAGGAAGACUCCAUACAGGCAAGGUUGGGAUCCCUUGAAGAGUGUCACUGUGUCCCAACCCUGGUCAUACAAAUGUUUUCUUCCUGUUUACCCGAGGAUUUCACUACCCCUUCCUGCCUUGCAAUAUUGGAAGUACAUACAUGGACAGUUGGUAAGUAUAAGGCUGUCCCUAAAAUGGUA
ensembl:lincRNA